UUCUGGACAAUGAGUGUAGAAAUUAAGCCAGGAUAUUCUGAUGGGUUUUAUAACUUUGGGAUUAGAGAAUAAAGGACAGCAUUAAUUCCUGAUACGAUUCCUUUAGUUUUUGACCAAAUUGAUCUAUGCUUGCUUCUAGCAUGUAUCCUCAAUUAAUCCUUCCAUAAAGAAAAACAAAACUAGUUUUAAUGCGGGAGCAGUUUGGAAUAGGCAUUUCCAUUUUCUUCCCUGCCUGCAGAGCUACAACUGCUGUGAUUGCUGUGACCUGGGUAAUGGCUGUUGCUUAGUCUUUUUCAUGAGUUAUGGAAAGUAAGUGAUAGUACUUGGGGUUUUUUUUUUUCCUUCAUGAAUUUUUCCUGCCUUUCUCAGGCAGUUGGAGUUAUUCAUGUGAGCUGUAGGCUGCAUAUUAUUGCCAACUUUCACACUCUAUCCAAUUUCUUACUACACCUGGUUAGGGAAGAGUUAAGUCAGACAUAGAUUUAUCAGAGAUAAAUGAAAUUUUAGGUGUCCAAAUACUACAAGGAGAGAGACACUCAUCUUUCUUUACCAAAUCUAGGAGGAGUCUAAGGUAACCAAGUUCUCACUUUUUAGGCUGGAUCUUGGAAUUUGUCACAAGCAUCUAAAAAGUGAUCUGUGAAUAGCUUUUUGGAUAAUGACCUGUCUAUCAUCCCAGAUACACCUACUGUUGAUUCAAGGAAAAAAAAAAUUAAUCUUAUCUCAGAGUAACUAAUUUUUCCUUGUUUGAUGCAAUGGCCAGAAAUAACUGGUUCCAGCUCCUUUCCUUAUACAUUUUCUGAGACAAUGAAUUCACAUCUAUCCAUCUAUCUCUGGAGAGGCUUCUUCCUCAGUAUGGCUUUCCACUCCUUUUUGGGAAUCCUUGCACUUUUUUUUUUUUUUUUUUAACAUGAGAAAUAAUUUUAAAAGUGGCUAACAUAAUACUUCAGAACCUCUGCCAGAGGAAGUGGUUGUUGCAGUUUGCAAACUGAGAGGGGAUGAAAAGAAGUUGACCAGUCAACUUCUCUGUUCAUUGGUGACCUGUAUUUCAAGGGGGGGGAUUGAACUUCUGUUUGGAGCUAACUUAUAAUUAUUGGUAUCUAAUGAGCCUGUACUUAAACCCCUACCCCAACCUAACCAAAACCUGCUUGAAAUGAAAUUUAAAAAAUAAGAAAAGGGCAGGAGAAAAUGGCUUUAUCAGAUAUCACGCAAAUGACAAACCUGUAGUCAGACAGCUCAGAUUCUGUAGCCUUAAUGGAUUUCUGGCAGAAGCCAAGAGUAAUAAUUAAAGUAAAAACCUUAAAGUAAUUUUUUUUUCCAGUCUGUUUAAACACAGACUGCUAUUUCAAAUGUCUGUAAAUAAAAAAAGCAGAAAGCAGAGCACAUUUAAUUUGGGAGUUGAGGAUUAUUGUUCUGCAGUAUGCUCCACUGCAUGCAGUCUUCAAAGCUAAUUCAUAUCCCACACUCUUUUUGUCAGCAAAUCAGUACAUAUUUAUAUCAGUUUUUAGAUUUAACUAGUAUUUGUUCCUUUAAAACCAUUUCUUGUAAUGCCAUAGGAAUGGCACUGCAGUCAUUUAUGUUUCUGUAGAACAUGUCUUUGAUAGUCUCAAGUGUAAAACUACAACAGGAAUACUGGUUUUUGAAAGAGGAAUUAAUGGCAGGAAUGGGGAUUGGAUGGAAGAAAUCAGGGAAACCUGCAAGUUCUGGUAGAGCUUUCUCAGAUCUGAUAGCGUGGAGAGUAACAGGUGCUGUGGCACUGGUAAAACGGUCUCUGACUUGAUAGCCUGAAAAUCAGCAGAUGCUUCAACUUCAUUCUUUCAUGCUAGAAGAAAAGGGUGAUCAUAUGUGGUGCUGGAGGCUGUCAGCUACUAGGUAGAGUUUGUGGAUGUUUGGUGAACUUAGAUCCCACCUGACCUCGAUGGGUUCACACGAAAAAGUCAUGAACCUGUCACAGAUCCCAGACAGAAUAUCGCUGAUUGUUCACGACUGAGUACUGAACUUCAGGUUGAUACUCAUGAGACUGGAGCAUCUUUUAGAGGAGAGACUGUGGGAGCUGGGCCUGUUUAGAGAAGACUGAGAGGGGAUUUCAUUAAUACAUACAAGUAUCUCAAAGCUGAGUGCCAGGAGGAUGGUGCCAGACUCUUUUCCAAUGAUGCCCAGUGACAAGACGAGGAGCAGU